rnacentral:misc_RNA from 1 species
GCGAAAUCUCACUGGUCGCUAUAGAGUGUCAGAAUUUUCGUCUCUCCUGUGUGCAAACUUACAAUUUACAAACCCUACUACUCCUUAAGGUGAAUGAUAUUUGGGUGAGAAACGAGAAGACUCACUGUGCAGAGGAGACAUGGCAACCCAAGCAGCUGCCUCUUUCAAUGGCAACAUGAAGAAAGCACUUGCUGGCCUCAGACGUAUCAAUCUGGAAGGUUUGCGAUGGAGAGUAUUUGAUGCAAAAGGCCAGGUCCUCGGAAGAUUAGCAUCUCAAAUAUCAACGAUAAUUCAAGGAAAGGAUAAGCCUACAUAUGCUCCAUAUCGUGAUGAUGGGGAUAUGUGCAUUGUGCUUAAUGCAAAGGAUGUAUGUGUUACAGGGAGAAAGAUGACAGAUAAAUUUUAUCGCUGGCAUACUGGGUAUGUGGGCCAUCUCAAGGAAAGGAGUUUAAAGGAUCAGAUGGCAAAGGACCCUGCAGAAGUAAUUCGCAAAGCAGUCUUGCGCAUGCUUCCUAGAAACAAAUUGCGUGAUGUUAGUACUAUACUAAGCAUUUCUAUUGACACGAAAUAUUACUUUAUCUUGUUUUCUGAUAUAUCUUUAUUGUGUGGAAAUGCUUUUUACCUUUCUGUUUAGUGUUCACUUAUUAUUCUGUCUUCAAUCACACCUGACAUGUGAGGCAUAUUGUUACAUGUUUUUCUGCUGCUGUAGCCAGCAUUCAUAUAGAUUAAUGUCUAGGCAGACUCUAGUUUUUGCAGGUGCAAAACGGAGAACAACAAAGGUAGAGAACCUGCCAAACAUGAGAACCAUAAACCCUAGCACACUUGAUCUAACAAAACAUCGAAAAUAGUGAAAAUUUUAUAUAAUGCCUUAAAUCUUAUUUAGGUCAGCUAUGGUUCAUACUGGGUUGGAAGCUCCAAAAUAUGGGGUUUCGCUACUUACAGUCUCAUGCAUUUCAAAUCUCACUUGUGUAGGUUUUUUCCUUGUAAAUUUUGAUACAUAAUUGUGGGACAUGAUCUCUAUCAAUGUUUUUUCUUGGAUCUAGUUUCUCCUCUGAAACAAAUGGAGAGCUGACUGUUGGAUUAGACUCAAUCGAAUGAUGCUCUUGGUGCCCUUUUCUCCCUUUGGUUGUAAGCCUUGGAUGUGUUGCCACAUCUUGAAUCUAUAAUAAUAGAAAUUGUAAAUUUGUUUUACUAACUAAAAUUCCAUUUUGUUAAGUUCAAGUAUAUGGCUUGGAGUAUUUCAGAAGUAGAUUGCUAUAUACAAUUGAUCUUUUUAUGGAUGUAGGAUAGAGAUAGAAAAUUGAGGAUUUUUGCUGGAAGUGAGCACCCUUUUGGUGAUUGGCCCCUUGAGCCAUAUGUAAUGCCUCCUAGAACAAUACGAGAGAUGCGGCCGCGUGCUAGACGAGCCUUGAUUCGAGCUAAAAAAAAAGCUGAGCAGCAACUGCAAGGUGCUAUUGAUAUGAGAAAAGGCAGAAAGAAAGAAGCUGAAGCAGAAGUGACCGAGUAAAAAUGUGAUACGAGAAAUAGUAGAAGUAACCAGGUGAAAAUUGGGAAGAUCUAAUGUGCGUGACUGUCAGAUGGAUGCAUUUUUAUUCUGUAUGUAGUCACCAUAAAUGGUCUUGUCCCCAUCUGUUGCAAAUUGAGAACUCUGCUCCUGGUUCCUGAAUCCCUUUAUAAACAUUUAGUGCGUACAUUUCAAUUAAACUUAUGCUUGUUUGAAGCUCUGAAGUUGCCCUGGCGACAACUUAUUUCACGAUAUUGCAAUGCCGAGUUUCAUCUAUUGAUUGAUUGUUUACAUCCAGAAUGUAGAUAAAAUUAUGCUUACAAUGUUGUAUGCAAAUAUAUCGCGAUGUAAGUAUAAAAGAAGAUGUCAUAUUUUGAAUUUUUGUAGGAUGAACACGACAUUCUCAAUGUUGUGACAUAAUGUGUAGAUAGCUUCUGAGAUUUUAUAUGCUAGCAUACUUCACACGUUUUAUGAAUUUGUAUAUUUCUGUGCGUUUACAAAACAUUGCCG